rnacentral:lncRNA from 1 species
ACCUCAGAUUUGGAGAUCUGGCACCCAUCAGCUGCUGGAUACCCACAGAACCUCCUCUUCCACAUUGCAAUUCCCCUGCAGAGUGCACCAAGCAUGGCCCUUGUGCCUCCAGGUUCCAUGGGCCAGCUCGGAGAGUUCCCUUGGCUGCAAGGAGAAGUCAUGGCUGGGACUCAGCUGGCCUCUGAUCGCCUGCAGGUGUUUUCCAAAAUAUCCUUGGAAUUGGAGCCUGCCUGACACAUCUGCCUGAUGCUUCCCCAUAACAACUUUCCAGUUCCAGUGAUGCUCUUUGGAUUCGCAGUCCAAGCACAGCUAUGAGGAACCUGGAGAAAUGGUUGUCUUGGACUGUGGAUGCCCCCAGCGAGUUUUGUGAAACACAUCAGAUCAUCAGGAGUUCUGCUUCCCCAAGCCGUGGAAAAUCCAAAACCUGGCAGAGCAGAUCACUUGAGUGUGCUGGAGAGGAGCACUCAGAGGGAAAUGGGAGCAGAGGCAGUCACGAGGAGGAGGCACUUGGAGAAAGGCUUUGGAGAGAGCUCCCAGGAAAAAUUAUCCCUUAUCAGCAGCUGCUGGAUGCCACAGCCCUGCUGCCAGGCCUGCAGCACCUGCUCUGCACAGGGCUGUGCUCGGCAGCAUCGCUCCUGUCCCUGCAGCUCCUGCAGCGAUUCCCAGCGCAGGGAAGGGAUGCUCUGCUCCCAGAAGCAGCACUGGGAUUACAUUAGGAAUUUCAUCCAGAUCUGUUUUUUUCCUAACCUGAGCUGUCUGAGAGCUGAGCUUUGGCUUUUAACCCCAGAACUUUGUAAAGCCCCACACUGAGGUCACUCCUUGUUUGUGUUCCGGCGUUUCCGGCAGUUUAUGUUCUAACAAACAGCAUUAAUGUGCUGUAAUACAUUGGAAUAAAAGUGCUUCAUUUCCUACUGGAAUUUCA